CGAAAGCUUGCUUUUGAUGGGCGUCGACCGGCGCACGGGUGAGUAACGCGUAUCCAACCUGCCCAUCACUUGGGAAUAACCUUGCGAAAGUAAGACUAAUACCCAAUAAUAUCCCACGAAGGCAUCCGAAUGGGAUUAAAGAUUUAUCGGUGAUGGAUGGGGAUGCGUCUGAUUAGCUUGUUGGCGGGGUAACGGCCCACCAAGGCAACGAUCAGUAGGGGUUCUGAGAGGAAGGUCCCCCACAUUGGAACUGAGAUACGGUCCAAACUCCUACGGGAGGCAGCAGUGAGGAAUAUUGGUCAAUGGGCGAGAGCCUGAACCAGCCAAGUAGCGUGCAGGAAGACGGCCCUAUGGGUUGUAAACUGCUUUUAUAAGGGAAUAAAGUGAGUCUCGUGAGACUUUUUGCAUGUACCUUAUGAAUAAGGACCGGCUAAUUCCGUGCCAGCAGCCGCGGUAAUACGGAAGGUCCGGGCGUUAUCCGGAUUUAUUGGGUUUAAAGGGAGCGUAGGCCGGAGAUUAAGCGUGUUGUGAAAUGUAGAGGCUCAACCUCUGCACUGCAGCGCGAACUGGUCUUCUUGAGUACGCACAACGUGGGCGGAGUUCGUGGUGUAGCGGUGAAAUGCUUAGAUAUCACGAAGAACUCCGAUUGCGAAGGCAGCUCACGGGAGCGCAACUGACGCUGAAGCUCGAAAGUGCGGGUAUCGAACAGGAUUAGAUACCCUGGUAGUCCGCACGGUAAACGAUGGAUGCCCGCUGUUGACCUGAAUAGGUCAGCGGCCAAGCGAAAGCAUUAAGCAUCGCACCUGGGGAGUACGCCGGCAACGGUGCAACUCAAA
rnacentral:rRNA from 1 species